UCACUACUUGCGUAGGCAGUCUGGCUAGAGUCCCCACCAUAACGUGCUGGUAACUAACCACAGGGGUUGCGCUCGUUGCGCCACUUAAGGCAACACCUCACGGCACGAGCUGACGACAGCCAUGCAGCACCUUCGCGGGCGCCCCGAAGGGAAGCUCCGUUUCGGGAGCGAUCGCCCGAGAUUUAGCCCGGGUAAGGUUCUUCGCGUUGCAUCGAAUUAAGCCACAUGCUCCACCGCUUGUGCGGGCCCCCGUCAAUUCCUUUGAGUUUCAUUCUUGCGAACGUACUCCCCGACGGCUAGCAUCCAUCGUUUACGGCGUGGACUAC
rnacentral:misc_RNA from 1 species